UUUGUUGGCUAGGUUUUGUUACUAAUUCCAGCUGCACUGUCAAUCCAAAUGUUAUUUCUUCUUUUUUCUUUUUUUAACAUUGUUUAUUGGGUUUUUCCAAGUUAAACACAACAUAUUAAAUACAGAAUAAUCUGAAUAGAUCAUUCCAAAUGUUAUUUCUCAAGGUAAUUCAUUCAGUGCGAUUGCUUCUCUCUACGUGUCUUCAGUCUCCCUUGCAGGGUGGAAAUGUGUAGAUUUGCAGGGUGGAAAAUGGCUUUCUUGUCACUGCACUGUUCAAUCUUUACCUCUGACCUGCUUACACUUGACCUGACCUUAAACAAAAGUUGUAUUCAUCUGUUUCUGUGUAACCCAGAGUGGAUUGACCUACGUGUGACAAAAACAUAUUUGCGGUCAUACAUGUAUAGAUCGUUGCAUAUUGUAACAGAUUAUCUCAAGGACACACUAACCCCUGGUUCAUCUCGCCCUCUCCUCAGGUAUAAGUUGCUGAGGUACUCUAAAGAACGACAGCAUCUGGACGGCUUGAACAAUCUGCAGUACUCUCCGGAGAUCUCUCUGAACAGCCUGUAUAAGAACAUCACGGUCAAUCUGAAUCCCGAGCUAGCCCCCAUAGCAGAGUACUGAGUCAAAAAAAUGUGAUGUAUCGAUGCCAAAUGCCCUUAAAAACAGGAGCGAGGAGGGCAGAGGCCUGUCUAAUGCACAGUUAGUUGCGUGACUGAAGGACGGGGUGACGUUGCGCUCCGAUAAGGCCGAGAUGAGAGAGCGAUGUCGCCGUUGCUCUUGAAUGGCAUCCGGAGUACACUUGGGCCAUGACGACUUUAUGCUGUUAAGUUUCGAGCAUUACAAGCUGUUGGAAAACUUUUUGUUGGUCCAUGUUUGCCUUUUGUAUGUAAUUUACAUUUUUUGGAGUUGUCGAUAUAACAUGUCGCAUUUAUUUUUUGUGUAUAUUUUAACUUAUCAUAUAAAUGUCCUAAAACUGCUGUUUCAUAUCCUCUCAUGCUGUCUGUGUGUGUGUGUCCAUUCGGAGAAUUACACAUUGAGGGCGAGAUUGUGUCAGCAGCAUAGUUUGCGACACAAACUGCGCUUUGUGACUCUUGAAGUUAAGACACUCACAGUUCACAGAAAUGCUUCACUCCGCUCUUUCCAUCUGCGUGUCUCUGAGGUGUGGUUGAGCCAUGGCUUCUCUUUGGUCGUCCGAUUGCUUUGUGGACGUCGUCUUAACACUAGUAUGGUCUUCUCCCAUUGAUGGUGUCCCCGACGUGAUCUCCAGUGCCCAGUCUGUUGUUUACAGUCUUUUCUUAUACCAUCAGACUUACAGUUGGGUCUGAAAAGACCUGUUUACUGUGGUUACGAGUUACAAAAAAACAUUUGACCAAUUCAGACUAGGAAUCAAAGAAUGCUGUCAUAUAAUAUACUGAAUAUGAUAUGGAGGCUACUGCUGCCAAAGUAUGCUUUUCCUCUUCCUCGUCCCUUUCGCUCUCCUCAUCUUUCAGCAUUGUAUAGUGAAAUGUAGCUCUAGGACAUCUGCUCAAUCUAAAUUUUUCGAUCCAGUCUCACUGAGUGUGUUAUUCAAGUGAGUUUGUGUGUAUGUGGUAUCACAUUCAUGUGCAGUCCAGUGUGAGAGGAUUGCUGUAGAAUGACGUGAAACGCAACUGAAAAACCCCUCAUCUCCCUUUUCCGCCGCACAGGGCCAACAAAUUAACAUAAGCAAUGUUGGCGGCAAGCUGUUGGUUUAUGCCCUGUGUUCGUGUUGAAGCAGCCGGUGAGAUAUAAACACUUGAUAGGUGUUGUUUAAUGUAAAAAUAGAGGCAUUUUAGACUGGGUUUAGGCUUUUGAAGAGAGAAGUGUGGCUUAUGAGCACUAGUUUCUAAAAUGCUCAAAUGAGUGUCAUUCCGCCUCCACAGUGCACUGUUUUCUUGUUUUGCAGGCACUUUAAUGGAGUAAUGAUUAGUGUUACGCUGCAAUACGAAGUCAGAUAGGCCUGUUACGAAUUAAUCAUUAGCUUUUGCACACUAGCGAAAUGGUUUUAUUUGGAACACAGAUUGGGACUGAAAGUUACACAUUGUUCUUAAAGUAAGGUGGGUUGCAAUAUGAAAACUGAAUGUUAAGUUGAUUUUUAUUUUACUUUUCUUUUUUUUUUUUUUUGUGGUGGUGUAAUGCCCCGUUCCUGAUAUGAAGAGUGUGUUUGUGUGUGUGUGUGUGUUUUUUUUAUUUGUAUUUUUUUUAUGUAAAACAUACCGGUGAGACUGCUCUGGUGUGUUUGGAUCUGGUGGUUAGUCAGUCGUAGCUUUUGAGAAGCUUUGUUCAGUGCUGUCUGCUAAUUUAGAUUCAUUCUCAUCUCAUUUUUCACCCCAAACCCACCCCUCUCAUAGCUGCCCCACCCUGUUCAGCUGUCUGAAAAUAUCCAGAAGAAAUAAUAGAUAGAGAAUUUUAAAAGAUGAUUUAUUUACCAUUACGGAUCUGUAAUGUGUAGAGUGUUACAUUGUUGCAGUAUUCAUAUUUGUGCCUUGAUUUUUUUUUUAAUUUUUCAAUUUCGCAUUGUUGAGAUGUGCAGUGGGGUGCGUGUGGAUGGUGUUUAAAAAUUAAACUGGGUGCACAUUUACAUGUUCUUUUACUCAAUUUUGUUUUUAUUUCAAACUGGAGCUGUGACUUUAAAACUGAAAUGUCUGCUGGUUGUUGAAUGGGAACUGAAAAACAUGAGGAUCUUCUGCUGUGUUUGAGUUUCUCCGGUGUUGAGGGUCCACUUUAACUGUAACACCAGUACGAGAAGCAGAAUGUCUUGAGAUGCCAGCUGCUUUGACUGACAUGUACAAUCCUGGUUCCAGAUUUUGUUUUGUUUUUGUUGUUGAACCAGUCUAUUCACUGCGUUUCGCUCUGUAAUGAUCAUUAAACGACUUUAUAGUUGAAAACUU